rnacentral:lncRNA from 1 species
GAAUAAAUAAAUAAAAAUCACAGAAAUUUGGAAUUUUGGAAAAAGGAAAAAAAAAAAAAAUAUAUUUUACUUACAGCAUUCAUAAUGUAUCUUGCAGGAUUUAUUUAUUCAAAUAUUUGCGUACAGGCAAUAACUUAGAGGUAGAUACAUGUAGUUAUAAACAUCGACUAAAACAUCAAGCAUAUAUAUAUAUAUAUAUAUAUCAACCAACAUAUAACAGUAUCAAAUCAUUAAACAUAGGUGGUGAUGUGGAUAAGGAAAGAAAUGUACAUAAAAAUAAUUCCGGUACAUGAUGUACCAAUUUUUUGAUAAUCAACCUAGUCUUCUAAAAUUGGAAGCCAGGGGUCCCAGCAGAUAUUGGCCAUAUGAAAAUGUUUUCUUUUUAAAAAAAUAAAUUCUUUUCUAAUGCCAGAGAUUCUUUGAGGUAGUUUUUAAGUCCUGUAAAAUUUACCUUUUUUUCACAUAGUUUUG